rnacentral:rRNA from 1 species
CACGUAGGGUGCGAGCGUUGUCCGGAAUUAUUGGGCGUAAAGAGCUCGUAGGCGGUGUGUCGCGUCGGCCGUGAAAACCUGCAGCUUAACUGUGGGCUUGCGGUCGAUACGGGCAUCACUGGAGUUCGGCAGGGGAGACUGGAAUUCCUGGUGUAGCGGUGAAAUGUGCAGAUAUCAGGAGGAACACCGGUGGCGAAGGCGGGUCUCUGGGCCGAUACUGACGCUGAGGAGCGAAAGCGUGGGGAGCGAACAGG